AUUGAACGCUGGCGGCAUGCUUUACACAUGCAAGUCGAACGGUAACAGGUCUUCGGAUGCUGACGAGUGGCGAACGGGUGAGUAAUGCAUCGGAACGUGCCCAGUCGUGGGGGAUAACGCAGCGAAAGCUGCGCUAAUACCGCAUACGAUCUAUGGAUGAAAGCGGGGGACCGUAAGGCCUCGCGCGAUUGGAGCGGCCGAUGUCAGAUUAGGUAGCUGGUGGGGUAAAGGCCCACCAAGCCCACGAUCUGUAGCUGGUCUGAGAGGACGACCAGCCACACUGGGACUGAGGCACAGCCCAGACUCCUACGGGAGGCAGCAGUGGGGUAUUUUGGACAAUGGGCGCAAGCCUGAUCCAGCAAUGCCGCGUGCAGGAAGAAGGCCUUAGGGUUGUAAACUGCUUUUGUACGGAACGAAAAGGCUCUCUCUAAUACAGAGGGCUAAUGACGGUACCGUAAGAAUAAGCACCGGCUAACUACGUGCCAGCCGCCGCCGUAA
rnacentral:rRNA from 1 species